AGUCAACAUUGGCAGGGCUGGGAGCCCUGCCGUGACCACAGCUUUUGAGCAAACACUGCUUUUUUUUUUCCACCCUGCCAGGUGACUGCUGCAAUGUUCCUGGGAAAGGUGUAACCUACAAACUGUCAGCACCACUGGCCCUACCUACCGAGCUGUCAUCACCUCCCGUUAGCACAAUGGGCUACAGUUGCUUCAUAAAGCUGAAAAUAACCCAGUGCCAGAAGAUUGAAGGACACAUCACCUUUCUGACACAGGCACAAUCCCAAGCUAACCCUAUGCAUCCGUUUCCUGAAAAGAAAACUGAGCUUCCCCCCUGCUUUCUGAAAGACUUUGGGAGAGUUCUGCAAGGCAGGAGGCGCCCAAGUAGCUUCUGACCAUCGCUACUUAAAUUUUGCAUGGAAAAAUGUUUUCUACAAAACCACUGGCUGCCUGCUUGGCCACAGCCACGUCACCUUGUGCCCAAAGGAGCUAUGCUUAGCUGCAGAUUCAAAAUCUGCGCCCUGCUCCACGCUUCAAAUGCCUCCAGAAUCCUCUGGCAGAUGCGACCAAUGAAGUACCCUCAAGAGGAGAAAAACCUGACCACUGUCUGCAGAUCCUGAUGCUGCUGCAGCCACUUGAACCAGGGAGGGAGCAGCAAGCCUGGAAAUCUCCUGGAGUGCUGGCAUUUGGGUGGGCUUUUUAAAACCAGUAUGAACAGCUGCUUUUGGUUGCUACUUCUGAGCAUGCCAGCUCUUUCAAAGAUGAAUCUCUGUGCUUUGUGAAAGCUGUUCUUUGGGUCCACACAGCACUCAAGCCUGGGGACAAGAGGGUUAACCAGCACGUGGUGAAUCAGAUGUGCAACUUGGGGAUACAAUUGGAUUUUGUCUGCUUUUGGGAUAGACACUGCCAAGCUUUGUUCAUGGUUCUAGCCCCGUCCUACCAUGUGAGCAUGAACAAGGGUGCAACAUCCAACCCUGCAUCUCUGGACCCCAUGGUGGGACGGAGUUGGGAGCAAGCGAUGGACCUGGGAGCAGUGGAUGGAGCUGGGAGUGGGGAAUGGAGUCAGGAGCAUGAAGUAGCAGGUCAUGAUUCCCAAAGGGCCCUUCAGAACUUGGACUCUCCCUCACCUAGUCACGGAAUGCUGCCAGAGGAGCCCACUCACGCGCACAAGUCUCAGCCCAUGCUGGAAAAGUGAUUUCAUGGCAGAACACCCAUGUCCCUGGGCAUGGCCCAUUUCUGCUUCCACAGCUGAAUUUAUUUUCAGCCCAUUGUGUGUGGUGAGUCACAGAUUUCUAACUGGGGCAGAUGGGACCGUUUUGACUGUAAAAUCAAAACAAUGGAUGUUACUGCAGUACAUGGCACUGCUAUUAAAAGCUCUGUCAAGUAACUAAAAUAGAGCCUGUGACAAUAAAUCACCUCCUACAAGUG